GGGCUAUGUUGCCAGGCUGGUCUUCAGCUCCUGGCCUGAAGCAAUUCUCCCACUUUGGCCUCCCAUAAAGUGCUGGGAUUAUACAUGUGAGCAUUGUGUCCGGCCAACCUCAGUCUUGUAGCUAUAGGUGUUUUUGCUAGAAAUAAUGCAUGUGGUUUACAAUUCUGAUAACAGUGCAAGUGAUGAUACAAUAUACACUUUUUAAAGCUCCCCAGCUUUUAAAGCUGCAUUAGCUCUUCUGCAAUGAAGAAAGCAAGAAGGAAGGAAAUACAGUAGUCCACCCUUAUCCUCGGGAGAUCCCACUGCAGGAUUCCCAGGGGAUGCCUGAAACCAUACAGAGUACUGAUCACUAAAUAAAUAAACACACACACAAACACACACACACAGUUUUUUCCUAUAGGUAUAUACCUAUAAUCAAGUUUAAUUUAUAAAUCUGGCACAGUAACAAAUGAACAGCAAUAACCAAUAAGAAAACGGAACAAUAUACCAUACAAAAGUUAUGUGAACAUGGUCUCGCUCAUUCUCAAAAUAUCUCAUAGUACCGUGCUCACCCUUCUUGUGUUGAAGUGAGAUGAUAAAACGCUUAUAAGAUAAGAUAAAGUGAAUGACUUAGGAAUUCUGAUGUAGCUAAUAUCAACCUUCUGACUAUACCUAAGAAGGGGGAUCAUCUUAGGGUGAUCCUGAAUCACUGAGUCAUGCUGAUGUCCACAGAUGGAUGUCAAAAGCCGAUGAUGUCAAUGACUGACCAAUGGGAGCACGUACAGCGUGGUUAUGUUGAUUCAUAUCCAGGACAGGGUGGUGCAAAAUUUCAUCACGUUACUCAGAACAGUGGACAAUUUAAAACUUAAACUACUAUGGAAGGGACUAUGACUGCUUCUUAGGGUAGCAGAUAUUCUAGAUACUCUUCAGCAAAAUGGACUCCACACUGUAUCUGAUAGGUUUCAAAAGACUUCAAAAAAGGCAUGUUAGUGUACACACAUGACUGGGAUUAACAUUCUAGAAUUUUAGGACUCAAUGGUACACCACUGAGGUAUUGAAAUGAAUUCAACUGUAAAUUUAGAUUAUGGUUCUGAGGUGGAGAUGCAUAAAAAUGAAAACUUAAAACAAAUACCAACACAAUUGGGUAUUUCUGGGUACUAACGUUCCAGGUAAUUAUCUUUCUCGACUUUCAUUUCUAAUGUUAAUAGUUAGCAAUAUCAAUAAUAUUGUUUAUAAAAGAAAUACUGUCCAAACUUUAUUAAGGUGCUCAUGUUAACACUUAAGGUUUCAGAUUUUCAAACUUGGGAUGUUCAAACAGUAGGUAUAAUACAAAUAUUCCAAAAUCCAACAAAAUCUCAAAUCCACAACAUUUCUGUUCCCAAACAUUUUCGUAAAAAAAACCUAAAAAAACAAAAAAACCAAAAAAAACAACUGGCCGGGUGCAGUGGAUCAUGCUUGUAAUCUCAGCACUUUGGGAGAUUGAGGAGGGUAGAUCACAAGGCCAGGAGUUUGAGAACAGCCUGGCCAACAUAGUGAAAUCCUGUCUGUACUAAAAAUACAAAAAAUUAGUCAGGCGUGGUGGCGGGCACCUGUAAUCCCAGCUACUCGGGAGGCUGCGGCAGUAGAAUUGCUUGAACCCGGGAGGGGGAGGUUGCAGUGAGCUGAGAUUGCGCCAUUGCACUCCAGCCUGGGUGACAGUGCGAGAAUCUGUCUCAAAAAAAAAAAAAAAAAAAAAGACCGGGCGCAGUGGCUCACGCCUGUAAUCCCAGCACUUUGGGAGGCCGAGAUGGGCGGAUCAUGAGGUCAGGAGAUCGAGACCACCCUGGCUAACAUGGUGAAACCCUGUCUCCACUAAAAAUACAAAAAAUUAGCUGGGCGUGGUGGCGGGCGCCUGUAGUCCCAGCUACUCAGGAGGCUGAGGCAGGAGAAUGGCUUCAACCCGGGAGGUGGAACUUGCAGUGAGCUGAGAUCGCGCUACUGCACUCCAGCCUGGGUGACAGUGCAAGACUCUGUUUCAAAAUAUAAAUAAAUAAAUAAAUAAAAAUAAAAAACCCUUGGGAGGCGCCGGGGGCAGUAGCUCAAAUCUCAAAUUCAAAACAUUUUUGUUCCCAAACAUUUUCGUAAACAAAACAAAACAAAACAAAAAAACUGGCUGGGUGCAGUGGAUCAUGCCUGUAAUCCCAGCACUUUGGGAGACUGAGGCGGGUGGAUCACAAGGUCAGGAGUUUGAGACCAGCCUGGCCAACAUAGUGAAAUCCUGUCUCUACUAAAAACACAAAAAAUUAGUCAGGUGUGGUGGCGAGCAUCUGUAAUCCCAGCUACUCAGGAGGCUGAAGCAGGAGAAUCACUUGAAUCCGGGAGGCGGAAGUUGCAGUGAGCUGAGAUCACACCACUGCACUCCAGCCUGGGCAACAGAGUGAGACCGCAUCUCAAAAAACAAACAAAAAAAACUCAACCUGUACCCAAACAAAAAUCUCAAAUUUCUUCCGUCUUAAAUAAAAAUUUUUUUUGGCUGGGCGCGGCACAGUGGCUCAUGCCUAAAUCCCAGGAACUUGGGAGGCCAAGACGGGUGGAUCACCUAAGGCCAGGAGUUCAAGACCAGCCUGGCCAACAUGGCGAAACGCUGUCUCUAUUAAAAAUACAAAAAUUAGGCCGGGCGCGGUGGCUCACGC
rnacentral:lncRNA from 1 species